GUAACCCGCAAGGGAGCCAGCCGCCGAAGGUGGGGUAGAUGAUUGGGGUGAAGUCGUAACAAGGUAGCCGUAUCGGAAGGUGCGGCUGGAUCACCUCCUUUCUAUGGAGA
rnacentral:rRNA from 1 species